AGUUUGAUCCUGGCUCAGGACGAACGCUGGCGGCGUGCCUAACACAUGCAAGUCGAACGGAGCUAGAUGCUGAGGACGUAGCUUGCUAUUGAAUCUUGUUUAGCUUAGUGGCGGACGGGUGAGUAACGCGUGAGCAACCUACCUUUCAGAGGGGGAUAACGUUUGGAAACGAACGCUAAUACCGCAUGAUAUUAUUGGGCAGCAUUGCCUGAUAAUCAAAGGAGCAAUCCGCUGAAAGAUGGGCUCGCGUCCGAUUAGGUAGUUGGCGGGGUAACGGCCCACCAAGCCGACGAUCGGUAGCCGGACUGAGAGGUUGAACGGCCACAUUGGGACUGAGACACGGCCCAGACUCCUACGGGAGGCAGCAGUGAGGGAUAUUGGUCAAUGGGGGAAACCCUGAACCAGCAACGCCGCGUGAGGGAAGACGGUUUUCGGAUUGUAAACCUCUGUCCUCUGUGAAGAUGAUGACGGUAGCAGAGGAGGAAGCUCCGGCUAACUACGUG
rnacentral:rRNA from 1 species